AGGCUCCUAUCCAGGGGGGUCCCUGACAGAGCUGCGGCCCCACGCCGGGGACAGCGAGGAGGAGGGUGGUCCGCGUCCAGCGCCGGGUGUCCCUGUCCCGCCCGGAGGUGACCCAGCAGACGGCUAUGACGAUGCCGGGGAGGUUUCCGACCCUGGGGAGGAUCGUGCCCCUGGGCAGGGAGACUGGGAACUGCCCAGGGCGCCAGAGGAGGGAGCGGGGCCCGGGGAUGCACCUGGAGAGAGCACGGGCUAUGACGAUGCUGAAGAGGUGCCUCUGGCACAUCCCCCCGAGGACACGAAGGCCGCGUCCCCGGAGCUCGGCGCAGAGCAGUCCCUGAGCCCCGGGGCAGGAGAGCCCGUCCCUGCCGUCGAGCUGGGUGCAGCCUGGAGGGAGGAGAGGACUGUGCAGCUGGCAGAGCCGUGAGCACCGGGGAGCCCUCUCCCUUUUCCCACAGGCA